rnacentral:rRNA from 1 species
AUUGAACGCUGGCGGCAGGCCUAACACAUGCAAGUCGAGCGGAUGAAGGGAGCUUGCUCCUGGAUUCAGCGGCGGACGGGCGAGUAAUGCCUAGGAAUCUGCCUGGUAGUGGGGGAUAACGUCCGGAAACGGGCGCUAAUACCGCAUACGUCCUGAGGGAGAAAGUGGGGGAUCUUCGGACCUCACGCUAUCAGAUGAGCCUAGGUCGGAUUAGCUAGUUGGUGGGGUAAAGGCCUGCCAAGGCGACGAUCCGUAACUGGUCUGAGAGGAUGAUCAGUCACACUGGAACUGAGACACGGUCCAGACUCCUACGGGAGGCAGCAGUGGGGAAUAUUGGACAAUGGGCGAAAGCCUGAUCCAGCCAUGCCGCGUGUGUGAAGAAGGUCUUCGGAUUGUAAAGCACUUUAAGUUGGGAGGAAGGGCAGUAAGUUAAUACCUUGCUGUUUUGACGUUACCAACAGAAUAAGCACCGGCUAACUUCGUG